CACGUAGGGUGCGAGCGUUGUCCGGAAUUAUUGGGCGUAAAGAGCUCGUAGGCGGUCUGUUGCGUCGGCUGUGAAAACCCGGGGCUCAACCCCGGGCCUGCAGCCGAUACGGGCAGACUAGAGUUCGGCAGGGGAGACUGGAAUUCCUGGUGUAGCGGUGAAAUGCGCAGAUAUCAGGAGGAACACCGGUGGCGAAGGCGGAUCUCUGGGCCAUUACUGACGCUGAGGAGCGAAAGCGUGGGGAGCAAACAGG
rnacentral:rRNA from 1 species